rnacentral:rRNA from 1 species
GAUGAACGCUGGCGGCGUGCCUAAUACAUGCAAGUCGAACGCGCAGCGAGAGGUGCUUGCACCUUUCAAGCGAGUGGCGAACGGGUGAGUAACACGUGGAUAACCUGCCUCAAGGCUGGGGAUAACAUUUGGAAACAGAUGCUAAUACCGAAUAAAACUUAGUAUCGCAUGAUAUAAAGUUAAAAGGCGCUACGGCGUCACCUAGAGAUGGAUCCGCGGUGCAUUAGUUAGUUGGUGGGGUAAAGGCUUACCAAGACAAUGAUGCAUAGCCGAGUUGAGAGACUGAUCGGCCACAUUGGGACUGAGACACGGCCCAAACUCCUACGGGAGGCUGCAGUAGGGAAUCUUCCACAAUGGGCGCAAGCCUGAUGGAGCAACGCCGCGUGUGUGAUGAAGGCUUUCGGGUCGUAAAGCACUGUUGUAUGGGAAGAAAUGCUAAAAUAGGGAAUGAUCUUAGUUCGACGGUACCAUACCAGAAAGGGACGGCUAAAUACGUGCCAGCAGCCGCCGUAACAC